ensembl:lncRNA
AUGUCUGUGGGAAUUGCUGAUUUUUCUGUGUAUUUUUAUAUUUUUGCUCUCUUUUCACUUGUGUUUUCAGAGCCACCCCCAGGUGAUGGAUUUCCUGAUCAUGUUUGGUGCAGGAUAUUCAAUCGCUUGAUGAGAAUGUGGUUUUCAAAAGGAAGGCUAUGGCACAGUCAGUUAUUGCGUGCGCUGAGCCUGAUGCAAUCUGCGCUGGGAACCGGACCUUGGACCGGGGCCAUCGAGACAAGGAGAACAGAAGCUGACACCCUUUGGGUGGAGGAUUUCAGGCAGAGCAGAUCCCCAGCCCUGCUCCUGCCAUAUUCCUCCUUGUGUCAGCAUGCAGGAGUCAGCCAGCCACCGCAGGGACAGGGCACCUUGCAUGGCGGAAUCACAGCCUGGCGCAGUGCCCACGGAGCAGGUCCUGCCUGUGGCAGGCAGAUGGACCGGCAGAAGUGCUGCUCACUGGGGGAAAAGGGAACCCGUCCUUCCCGUGGGAGAUCAGCCCCUUCCCUGGUGGUGGGACACCCCUGGGAACCUCACGAGGGUGUCCCUGCAUACGAAGGGGAAUCAUACAGCUGCACUGGUACAGGGGCUUGCAGUUUUAGCCAGUAAGCAGCAACAGCCUCCAAGCAAGAAACAGAGGGACAGAAGGCGGCCACACAGAUCUGUCUGCUCACAUCUGCUUUUCAUUUCCCACGUGCUUUCGGGGGGUUGGUUUGGGUUGGUGGUUUGGUUCAGACAUGAGAGCUGCCGGGCUGUGACACGUGUUGCUUCUGAAGGGGGAACUUCCCAGAAGUGAAACGCUGUGGUUGAGGAAGCUUGGAAUUUUCAUGCAGAACAAAACUGGCACUGAUGUGCCUGGAGCUGGUCAGGAGAACAGGACCAUGGCCUGGGGCUUCCUGGGUUUCCUGCACUCCGCUCAACUGAAGGGCUGUAGUCUCGAGUUUUCAGAACCAAACCCUCAGGAAGCAUUGACCAACGUGGUCUGUAAUGCCGAGCAAAUAUACGAUGCCAUGUUUUAUCUAAUGGAGAAAAUUCUCAGAGAGCUUCGCACAGAUCACCCGUGAGGUGCUGGAAGAGUUAUUUAAACAGGCCGAAUGUGCUCAUUCCGGGUCAGGUAACUGCAUGAUAAAAGAAGACACAGGAACAUUUGCAAUGGCAAAGUACGUGACCAGGCAGUGCAGCAGCUACACCCAGCAGGGCGCUGAUGUCUGUGCAGCACAAAGCAGGCACCCGGGUGUUGGAACUGGGGCUAAAGAGACAAGCAAGGAGAGGUUGGUCUGAGUGCAAUGGAGAAUGCUUCAGAAAACAUCAUUGCUCAUGACAGCAUUCGAUGCACAAGUGCUAGUGCUCGCAUGAGGGGUGGAGGAAUGUGCUUCCUGGACAAAGAGACAGUGUGGGAUUUCAGAGUGGCUGCAGGGACCUCUGGAGCUCAUCUCAUCCAAUCCCUGCUCAGGCAGAGCCUCCUCGGCUGCCCAGGACCAUGGCCGGUUGGCUUUGGAAUAUCUCCAUGGGUGGAGACCCCACAACCUCCCUGGGCAACCCAUGCCAGUGCUCGGUCAUCCUCACUGGAAAAUCUGCUUCCACAUGCUGAGGGAACCUCCUGUGUUUCAGUUGUGCCCAUUGCCUCUGGUCCUGCCCUGGGGACCACUGGAAAGAGCCUGCCUCCAUCCUCUUUGCAUGUCUCUUCUGGGUAUUGGGUACAUCAGUCAGGCCCCACUGUGCCUUCUCCAUGCUGAGCAGUCCCAGUCCUCUCAGCCUUUCCUUAUAGGACAGAUGCUCCAGUCCCUUCAUCUUCAUAGCCCUUUGAUGGACUCUCUCUAGUAUGAUCAUGUCUGUCUUGUACCGUGGAGCCCAGAACUGGUUGGUGGUCGCCAGUGCUGAGUGCAGAGGAAUGAUCACCUCCCCUGACCUGCUGGCAAUGCUCCUCUUAAUGCAGCCCAGGAUGUCGGUACUCUUCUUUGCUGCGAGGGCACAUGGUUAGUUGAAGUUCGCCUCGGUGUCCACUCGGUUGCUGCACAGCAGAUCCUGGUGCCGGGGGCUGCUCCUCCCCAGGGGCAGGACUUUGCUCUUUCCCUUUGUGAACUUCCUGAUGCUCCCAGCAGCCCCUUUCUCCAUCCUGUCCAGGUCCCCUCUUGGUGCCUCUCACCUGUGCUCCUCUCUUUUGGUAGCUGCUUCCGUUUGUACCCACUCAAGCUGUUUGGACAUCGCAGUGGGACAGUGAUAUUUGCUCACUCUAACUGAGACUAUUGAAGUACUGAAGUCAACAAGCUGCUGCAAUACGGUGUGUGUGUGACAGCCUGAUCCUUACUGUCGUGUCGAAUUUGACAUAAGCAGUAUGGGCUGUUCAAGCUCGGGUUGUGCAAAAACACUGAUGAGAAUCUACCACAUAAUUACACCUUUUCUUUCUGUCUCAGAUGCCAGAGACGUGCCGCAUUUGUCUGGUAACAUAGGUCCUAUUACCGCUCACUGAUACUAGAUUUUGGAGAGCUGAACAGUGACGUUAUGAUGUUGUAUUUGCCCAGGAGAUAUAGAUAAAGACGUUUCUCUGUGACUUUUGUACAGCUGUAUCAGCUUCCUGCUUUUCUGUAAGCGAUCGCUUUUCCUGCCUUUGGGAUCUCCAGUGUCAGUGGCAGCUGAUGCUCCGGACCUGGGAAUGCCUCGUGAUUCCCAGCAGGGAAUGCCCCCCGUAGCGAAUGGUCUGCAGCAGAUCUGACGCCCAGGGUCUGCCCAGCCGGCCGCGGCGCGCCGCGUUGGCGCGGCUCCGCGCGCCCACCGUCCGUGCGCCCCCUGCAGCGUUCCAACGGGAAUGGACCAAACCGCUCCCGGGAGAGCGGCGGGGAGGCAAUUCCUCCGGGCCGCAGGGAGGCGCUGUGCGCGCCGAGCCGUGUCCAUGGCGAGGCGGCUGCCCUGGGCCAUGGCGGCGGUGUUGAGCGUCUCGGGCGGGGCCGUGUAUCGGUCCCGCGACCCCUUGCGCAACCUGCGCCUCCG